rnacentral:rRNA from 1 species
AGUGAACGCUGGCGGUAGGCCUAACACAUGCAAGUCGAACGGCAGCACAGUAAGAGCUUGCUCUUACGGGUGGCGAGUGGCGGACGGGUGAGGAAUACAUCGGAAUCUACUUUUUCGUGGGGGAUAACGUAAGGAAACUUACGCUAAUACCGCAUACGACCUACGGGUGAAAGUAGGGGAUCUUCGGACCUUGCGCGAUUGAAUGAGCCGAUGUCGGAUUAGCUAGUUGGCGGGGUAAAGGCCCACCAAGGCGACGAUCCGUAGCUGGUCUGAGAGGAUGAUCAGCCACACUGGAACUGAGACACGGUCCAGACUCCUACGGGAGGCAGCAGUGGGGAAUAUUGGACAAUGGGCGCAAGCCUGAUCCAGCCAUACCGCGUGGGUGAAGAAGGCCUUCGGGUUGUAAAGCCCUUUUGUUGGGAAAGAAAAGCAGCAGGUUAAUACCCCGCUGUUCUGACGGUACCCAAAGAAUAAGCACCGGCUAACUUCGUG